GCCUUCGUGGUGUAGUGGUCACCACUCUCGACGCAUAACCGAGCGGUCGAGGGUUCGAUUCCCGGCGAAAGCG
rfam:Stegodyphus mimosarum contig44760, whole genome shotgun sequence.